AGAGUUUGAUCCUGGCUCAGGAUGAACGCUGGCGGUCUGCUUAACACAUGCAAGUCGAACGGAGUAGCAAUACUUAGUGGCGGACGGGUGAGUAACGCGUGAGAAUCUGCCCUUAGGUUGGGGACAACAGUUGGAAACGACUGCUAAUACCCAAUGUGCCGAGAGGUGAAAGGUUAACUGCCUGGGGAUGAGCUCGCGUCUGAUUAGCUAGUUGGAGUGGUAACGGCACACCAAGGCGACGAUCAGUAGCUGGUCUGAGAGGAUGAUCAGCCACACUGGGACUGAGACACGGCCCAGACUCCUACGGGAGGCAGCAGUGGGGAAUUUUCCGCAAUGGGCGAAAGCCUGACGGAGCAAGACCGCGUGAGGGAGGAAGGCCUAUUGGUUGUAAACCUCUUUUGAUAGGGAAGAACACAAUGACGGUACCUAUCGAAUCAGCAUCGGCUAACUCCGUGCCAGCAGCCGCGGUAAUACGGAGGAUGCAAGCGUUAUCCGGAUUUAUUGGGCGUAAAGCGUCCGUAGGUGGCAAACCAAGUCAGUUGUUAAAGCGUAGAGCUUAACUCUAUAAGGGCAAUUGAAACUGGUUAGCUAGAGUGCGAUAGGGGCAAGGGGAAUUCCCAGUGUAGCGGUGAAAUGCGUAGAUAUUGGGAAGAACAUCGGUGGCGAAGGCGCCUUGCUGGGUCUGCACUGACACUGAGGGACGAAAGCUAGGGGAGCGAAAGGGAUUAGAUACCCCUGUAGUCC
rnacentral:rRNA from 1 species